UGAACAUUCCAGGCUCUGUGAACUAAGUGACUGAAGCUGAUUGACACAGGUCAAGGGGACUUCAAGGAAGAAAGCCAGCCUUAGACUGACAUCAGAGAACCAAACUCCGGUGUCUAAGCUCAAGUAAUACAAGUAAUUGGGAAGACACUGGCUCAGAGCCUGUCUCUGGUGACCACUGAAUUGUCCAGCACCUGAGGUCCCUGGAGCCCACGGACUGAGCCCAUCUGGGCUAAAAGAGGUCCCAUACAUCCUUCUCAAAGGCCUAUAUAAAUGCCAAGCAGAGUUAUAGCAGGAGGUUAGAAUCCUGAGAACUGUUUGGAAUAAGGAAUCCAAAUAUUGUCUUCCAGCUUCACCUUGUCACGACAGUCCUCGCCAGGGACAGCUGAGCAUCUACAUCUCCAUUUAUGCCGUGUGCACGCAGUACCAACAGAGGUCAGAGGAGGGUGUCGGAUCCCCUGGAACUGGAGUCACAGAUUCUUCCUUGCGUGGAUGAAACAGUCCCAACGAACACUUUAAAAAGACAAAUGUUCCCGACAGCACUGGUUGAAUUCAAAACUCGGCAGAUCCAUGUUCUUAUCCUUAGACAAGAGAGGGGCCAUAACAAGAUGGAAUGACGGAACAGACGUGAGAGAUGAUGGUACAGUGACUCGGGUAACCCCAGAAAAGGGACAGCUCUUCUACAGCUCAGUGGGGACAGGGACAAAAAGAAACAAUUUCAUUUCAGUCCACCCAGAGGGUCUGCACUUCUCGGAGCCAGAAGGUGGAGAAGAGUAGGGAUGGAGGAAGUUCGAAGUUUUAGGAGUCUGCUCUUGGGUCCCUAGGCAUGAGGACAAGCUUUUCCUGUACUCAAUGCUCAUCUCUCAGUUGUGCCCACAUUGGUACACAUUACUUGCUUUCAACUGCUGCUGCUGCUGUUUCCUAAUUCAAUAAAGAUAUGGCUGGCUCAGCAGAGAGCUGUCAUCCA
rnacentral:lncRNA from 1 species